AAGGAUAAAGUUAUCAUUUUCAGUUUUGAGAGACUUAAGAAAGUUUUUCAUUUUUUAAGAUUCGGGCCUAUAGCUCAGCUGGUUAGAGCACACGCCUGAUAAGCGUGAGGUCGGUGGUUCAAGUCCAUUUA
rnacentral:misc_RNA from 1 species